rnacentral:misc_RNA from 1 species
AUGCGAUAAGUAGUGUGAAUUGCAGACUUUAGUGAAUCAUCGAAUCUUUGAACGCACAUUGCGCCCCUUGGUAUUCCAUUGGGCAUGCCUGUUCGAGCGUCAUUUACACCCUCAAGCUCUGCUUGGUGUUGGGCGUCUGUCCCCGCUUUACGCGGGGACUCGCCUCAAAUUCAUUGGCAGCGGCAUCGUUGGCUUCUUGCGCAGCACAUUGCGCUCUAGAAGGCUCCCAACGGGCUCGCGUCCAUCAAGAUACCAUCUAGUUUGACCUCGAAUCAGGUAGGGAUACCCGCUGAACUUAA